GAGUUUGAUCCUGGCUCAGAUUGAACGCUGGCGGAAUGCUUUACACAUGCAAGUCGAGCGGCAGCGCGGGGCAACCUGGCGGCGAGCGGCGAACGGGUGAGUAAUGCAUCGGAACAUGUCCAUUCGUGGGGGAUAGCCCGGCGAAAGCCGGAUUAAUACCGCAUACGCCCGAGAGGGGAAAGCCGGGGACCGCAAGGCCUGGCGCGAAUGGGUUGGCCGAUGCCCGAUUAGCUAGUUGGUGAGGUAAAGGCUCACCAAGGCGAUGAUCAGUAGCUGAUCUGAGAGGAUGAUCAGCCACACUGGGAUUGAGAACGGCCCAGACUCCUACGGGAGGCAGCAGUGAGGAAUUUUCCGCAAUGGGGGAAACCCUGACGGAGCAACGCCGCGUGCAGGAGGAAGGUCUACGGAUCGUAAACUGCUUUUACCGGGGAAGAGAACGGACGGUACCCGGUGAAUAAGCCCCGGCUAACUACGUGCCAGCAGCCGCGGUAAUACGUAGGGGGCGAGCGUUAUCCGGAAUUAUUGGGCGUAAAGGGCACGCAGGCGGUCCUGCACGUGGUGGGUGACAGCUUCUAGCUUAACUAGGAGAGUGCCUUCCAAACGACAGGACUUGAGAGCGAGAGAGGGAUACGGAACUCCAGGUGAAGCAGUGAAAUGCGUAGAUAUCUGGAAGAACACCAAAGGCGAAGGCAGUAUUCUGGCUCGUCUCUGACGCUCAGGUGCGAAAGCUAGGGGAGCAAACAGGAUUAGAUACCCUGGUAGUCCUAGCUGUAAACCAUGACCACUAGGCGUGGGAGGUAUCGACCCCUUCCGUGUCGUAGGUAACCUGUUAAGUGGUCCGCCUGGGGAGUACGGUCGCAAGACUAAAACUCAAAGGAAUUGACGGGGGCCCGCACAAGCGGUGGAGCAUGUGGUUCAAUUCGACGCAACGCGAAGAACCUUACCUGGGCUCGAAAUGUAGUGGAAUGGGGUGGAAACAUCCCCGUCCCGCAAGGGACUGCUAUAUAGGUGCUGCAUGGCUGUCGUCAGCUCGUGUCGUGAGAUGUUGGGUUAAGUCCCGCAACGAGCGCAACCCUUAUCGUUAGUUGCCACCGGGUCAAGCCGGGCACUCUAGCGAAACCGCCUCGGAUAACGGGGAGGAAGGUGGGGAUGACGUCAAGUCCUCAUGGCCUUUAUGUCCAGGGCUACACACGUGCUACAAUGGCCGGUACAAACCGUCGCAAACCCGCGAGGGGGAGCUAAUCGGAAAAAGCCGGCCUCAGUUCGGAUUGGAGUCUGCAACUCGACUCCAUGAAGCUGGAAUCGCUAGUAAUCGCAGAUCAGAACGCUGCGGUGAUACGUUCCCGGGCCUGCACACAC
rnacentral:rRNA from 1 species